AGUAGGUUUCCUAUGCAACCUACAAGUGUAAACCUAUAGGCCUCUACCAAAAACUAUUCAUCUUACUUUUCAAAAAGAUAGCAAGCUCACCAUAAUAGACGUAUGGUUCCUUAGAAACCAAACUGUGAUAUGUAGCUUCCUUUGUAGCAUUAAGUACAGUAGCAAAAGUUUCCUUUGACUCUUUUCAACUUGAGUAACAAUCGAUCCAUUAUUGACAGAUGUAACAUAAGAUCGUGGAAGUUGAGUGUGAAUCGGAGUACCAGAAGGAACAAUGGGUGGUCUAGAUAAGAUUGGGAUGUGGAAUUGCCUCGAGGACUACGCAUGAGGGCUACGUGCAAGGGGCCGAUGACGAGUGGAACAACAUGUGAGCUGAUGUCUGAAGGUUGAAUGGAGCUGUAUUUGAGACCUAUUGAGGUUGAAUCUGGUGUGCAUUUGUUACGAAUGGAAGCUACAAAAUCUAUCUUAAACUUGAUCCUUUUCGAAAACUCAAAAUUUGUGGUGAGAUUUGAAAAUUUAUUGACCGAAGGCAUGGGCAUCACAGGUGUAUUGAUAGUAGUAGAAUGUAAUGGUGGUAGCACCUUGUCAUGUAUAGAAACCAUAUUACUAGAAUUUGAAAUUGAAGGGGGCUCGACUUUAGCGUAUUAGGGUUUGAAAUUGAGGUUCAAUUGGUCAUCGAUUUUGUGAAUUAGAAGGUUACCCAUGAUCGUAUGAUCUUCAAUUUCAGUAAUGUUGGAACAUCAAUUGGCUUAUUGAAAUUCCCAUCACUCUCGGUUUGAUUUGACUCCAAUCUGGAGUUUGAGUUGUUAAUUAACUCAAUUACCUGUGACCCAUGGUUUUUCCAUCAUCAAUUGAUGUUUUAAAGGUUGAAUUGAACAUUUGAAGCAAUACAUUUUGAUCAAAUUCCUUUGUCCCAAAUUUUUCACAUGGAGCUCGAAUUGCAUCCAUAAAUUCAUCGAGUUUUAGACAAAAUUGGGC
rnacentral:lncRNA from 1 species